rnacentral:rRNA from 1 species
UACGUAGGGGGCGAGCGUUAUCCGGAUUUAUUGGGCGUAAAGCGUGCGUAGGCGGUUUGUUAAGUCCAGAAUUAAAGCCCGAGGCUUAACCUCGGUUCGUUCUGGAAACUGGCAGACUAGAGUAUGGUAGAGGCAAAUGGAAUUCCUAGUGUAGCGGUGAAAUGCGUAGAUAUUAGGAGGAACACCAGUGGCGAAGGCGAUUUGCUGGGCCAUCACUGACGCUGAGGUACGAAAGCGUGGGGAGCAAAUAGG